rnacentral:lncRNA from 1 species
CCUCGCCACAGUUCCUGGACACACUGACUCUAACCAUGGAAUGGAGAUGGGUCUUUCUCUUCCUCCUGUCAGUAGCUGCAGGUGUCUACUCCCAAGUUAAGCUGCAGCAGUCUGGGGCUGAGUUGGUAAAGCCUGGUGCUUCAGUGAAGUUGUCCUGCAAGACUUCUGGUUACACCUUCAGCACUAGCUAUAUGAGUUGGUUCAAGCAGAUUCCUGGACAGAGUAUUGAGUGGAUUGGAAUGAUUUAUGCUGGAGAUGGUGGUACUGACAUGUUUCUGAAUCAUUAAAACAAUAAAAAGAGAAAACCACGAUGAUGUAUGAUAAAAUAUUAUAUAUUCUG